rnacentral:lncRNA from 1 species
GAGGUUGCUGGUGAGCGGAGGCGACGCCAGGCACCACUCUAGCCUGGGCAACAAAGUGAGACUCUGUCUCAAAAAAAAAAAAGAUUAAAAAAAGAUAUUCAUGUAACAUGUCAUUAAUCCUAAGCAAUGUAAAUAACUAACAUUCUUUGGAUAGAAGGCGAAAAGUGCUCAGGGUUCUGAAUCAUUGGACAAAAUUAAUCCAGCUUUUCCCUACUAGAUGCCCAACUGGUUUUUUAUUUCAGACAGGAAGCUAUAUUAGGAUGGGUGCAAUGCUUGACGGUGGCUUAUCGCAUAUUCUCAUUUAGAAUAAAAUCUCUUUUCACAUGGGAUCAUAUCUUGCCAUAUGUUGCUUGACCUUGUCGCUGUUGUUGUUUUACAAGCUUGAACAGUUUGGAGGAAGUUCCAGCGAACAGGUAAACUCCUAGUGCUACUUUCAAAUGCUGUGUCCAUCAUUUUAACACGUUUGCCACUGUCUGAAAUGACUGACAUCGUGUCUUCUUUCUAUAGAGAUUCAACUUCUUCCCACCGCAAAUACCACCAUUUUUCCCACCGCAAGUGCCACCAUUUUUCCCCCAAUUCCCAUUUCCCCUACCUCCACAACCGCCUCUGAUUCCAAUUCCUUUUCCCUUUCCUAACAAUCAAAAUCAGAUCCUCCAGGCACUUAAUGAUCUUAUCUCGGUAAAUAUGUUCUUUCCUGUUAAUCUAUGAAGUCUGUCAAAGUACUGCAUUUGAUACCCUACAGACGAUGACCAAUCAUCAUGAAAAUGAUUGUAUUAGUUAUUUCAGUAUUCGUUUACUUGAAUACAAAAUAAGGCAGAGCUGUUAAAUUCAAAGCAAAAAAACCAUCUCAAUGCAUGAGAAGGCUCUACUUUAUUUAUUCAUUUAUCCAAACCGCAAACUGACAUGAUAAUUCUUCUAUUAUCAAUGACUGCAAGAGUAAAGAGAAGACUUGCGUUACAAGAUAAAUUGCUUCAGGAAGG